ACGAACGCUGGCGGCAGGCUUAACACAUGCAAGUCGAGCGGAUGACGGGAGCUUGCUCCUGGAUUCAGCGGCGGACGGGUGAGUAAUGCCUAGGAAUCUGCCUGGUAGUGGGGGACAACGUUUCGAAAGGAACGCUAAUACCGCAUACGUCCUACGGGAGAAAGCAGGGGACCUUCGGGCCUUGCGCUAUCAGAUGAGCCUAGGUCGGAUUAGCUAGUUGGUGAGGUAAUGGCUCACCAAGGCGACGAUCCGUAACUGGUCUGAGAGGAUGAUCAGUCACACUGGAACUGAGACACGGUCCAGACUCCUACGGGAGGCAGCAGUGGGGAAUAUUGGACAAUGGGCGAAAGCCUGAUCCAGCCAUGCCGCGUGUGUGAAGAAGGUCUUCGGAUUGUAAAGCACUUUAAGUUGGGAGGAAGGGUUGUAGAUUAAUACUCUGCAAUUUUGACGUUACCGACAGAAUAAGCACCGGCUAACUCUGUGCCAGCAGCCGCCGUAAGAC
rnacentral:rRNA from 1 species